UUCAAUCUAGGAGACAAUGUGUACAGAGGAAUGAAUCGAGACAAUGGUAUGAGAUGGACCUGGACGGGACUCCCAGCACAGAUGAUUCCUAGCCACGUGCCUUUGGACAGCUUGAGAAAUGUUUUAAAAGCUUCUCACAUUUCCAGUGAAACCCACAGAGAAGAAUUUUGCUUGUUAUCAGCCCUGGAAGCCUCUGAUAGACGGAUUGUAAACUCCAUGAGGGCAAAGAACGCGUCUCCCUGGUUGCCUGCUUUAUGUCCAGCGUCAAGCACAGUACCUGGCAUGUACCUGAUAGUCAACAGAUGUUUGCUGAAUGAAUAAUCUUGCUUUCCCAGCCUCUACUGGUGCAGCUGAAGUUUUGGAUCCAAGCACAGGAAUUUGCAUUUAUUAAAUUUCACAUUAGACCAUCCCAGUUAUUAGUAUUCCAAUAAAUUUCAAUCCAUCUGCUAUUUAGAGUACCUACUGUUUACCCUGAACGUACCUGAUGUUGGGGAGACAAAGAAACUUGCACAAUCUUAGUCUUGAGGAGCUGACAGUCUAGUUUGGGAGACAGAUAAGAAAACGAGUAGUUCUAGGGACGCUUG